AAAAGACGACUAAAACAAGAACAGAGACAAGUUCAGAUAAACAUAGGAUUGAUGGUGCCAAAUGGAAGGGAUUUAAAACCUGCAAGAGGGAAAACACUCCCAUUAUUUACAGACCCUCUGGUAGCAGCGCCUGAUCUGCUGAAACUAGCUGUUCAGAAAAUGAGAACAUUUAACAAGGACAUGGAUGAAGGGCCAUAUAUACUUUUGUAUCCAGAUUGCUCAGAGGUGGUCAAUGUGCCUGGGACAGAAAGGCCAUUCAUAUUGGCAGAAUAUAAAAAGGAAAUAGGAAAGGCAUAUUGCAGGAUCUUUUUUUAUAUGCCUUGAAAAAGACUUUAGAAGAGUGGAUGUUAGCUCAGAAUCAGACUCAGAUUCUGAAAUUUUUGUUACAAGUAGGAGCACAAUUGAAUUCAAUCAGGCUGACACUAUGGUGAGUUAACAUGAAACAAAUAAUUUAGGAAAGCUAUAUACUGAAUGGCCGUAUUAAUUAUCUUAACCAGAGCUGUUCUGUGCAUAAUGCUUGCCAAUAUUUUGGUUCAACAGAGGCUAGCUACUUAGUAAUGUCUGUAAUUGA